CUAACAUGUACACACGUAAUUAAUCACUUUAUGCCAGCCCUGGAAAUGGAGCAGAGAAGGUGCACUUGGAGCAACAGGAAAUGGGCCAUUUUAGGAGUUGAUUCUAGAAUAUCUAUCUAGAUAUCAGUAUCUGAGAUUACAUGAGACCUUUUUCCUCCUGCACUGUGAUGGACAAGACACCAUCCUUAUUUGGGACUGGAAAAGUCAUAAGACUUCUGGUAUCCCUUGGAGUGUGUCAGGGUAAAACCUGCCAUCCUGCACUGACUGUUUUAGUACUGGAGAGAUGAAGAGAGAAACUUGUGACUUUGUGAGCAGG